rnacentral:rRNA from 1 species
CGUGUAGGCGGCCAAACAGGUCCGUUGUGAAAACUGGAGGCUUAACCUCCAGACGUCGACGGAAACCGUAUGGCUAGAGUCCGGAAGAGGAGAGUGGAAUUCCUGGUGUAGCGGUGAAAUGCGCAGAUAUCAGGAAGAACACCAAUGGCGAAGGCAGCUCUCUGGGACGGUACUGACGCUGAGACGCGAAAGCGUGGGAGCGAACA